rnacentral:rRNA from 1 species
UUAAGUUAUUAAGGGCGCACGGUGGAUGCCUUGGCACUAGAAGCCGAUGAAGGACGUUACUAACGACGAUAUGCUUUGGGGAGCUGUAAGUAAGCUUUGAUCCAGAGAUUUCCGAAUGGGGAAACCCAGCAUGAGUUAUGUCAUGUUAUCGAUAUGUGAAUACAUAGCAUAUCAGAAGGCACACCCGGAGAACUGAAACAUCUUAGUACCCGGAGGAAGAGAAAGAAAAUUCGAUUCCCUUAGUAGCGGCGAGCGAAACGGGAAGAGCCCAAACCAAAAAGCUUGCUUGUUGGGGUUGUAGGACACUCUAUACGGAGUUACAAAGGACGACAUUAGACGAAUCAUCUGGAAAGAUGAAUCAAAGAAGGUAAUAAUCCUGUAGUCGAAAAUGUUGUCUCUCUUGAGUGGAUCCUGAGUACGACGGAGCACGUGAAAUUCCGUCGGAAUCUGGGAGGACCAUCUCCUAAGGCUAAAUACUCUCUAGUGACCGAUAGUGAACCAGUACCGUGAGGGAAAGGUGAAAAGCACCCCGGAAGGGGAGUGAAAUAGAACCUGAAACCGUGUGCUUACAAGUAGUCAGAGCCCGUUAAUGGGUGAUGGCGUGCCUUUUGUAGAAUGAACCGGCGAGUUACGAUUUGAUGCAAGGUUAAGCAGUAAAUGUGGAGCCGUAGCGAAAGCGAGUCUGAAUAGGGCGUUUAGUAUUUGGUCGUAGACCCGAAACCAGGUGAUCUACCCUUGGUCAGGUUGAAGUUCAGGUAACACUGAAUGGAGGACCGAACCGACUUACGUUGAAAAGUGAGCGGAUGAACUGAGGGUAGCGGAGAAAUUCCAAUCGAACCUGGAGAUAGCUGGUUCUCUCCGAAAUAGCUUUAGGGCUAGCCUCAAGUGAUGAUUAUUGGAGGUAGAGCACUGUUUGGACGAGGGGCCCCUCUCGGGUUACCGAAUUCAGACAAACUCCGAAUGCCAAUUAAUUUAACUUGGGAGUCAGAACAUGGGUGAUAAGGUCCGUGUUCGAAAGGGAAACAGCCCAGACCACCAGCUAAGGUCCCAAAAUAUAUGUUAAGUGGAAAAGGAUGUGGCGUUGCCCAGACAACUAGGAUGUUGGCUUAGAAGCAGCCAUCAUUUAAAGAGUGCGUAAUAGCUCACUAGUCGAGUGACACUGCGCCGAAAAUGUACCGGGGCUAAACAUAUUACCGAAGCUGUGGAUUGUCCUUUGGACAAUGGUAGGAGAGCGUUCUAAGGGCGUUGAAGCAUGAUCGUAAGGACAUGUGGAGCGCUUAGAAGUGAGAAUGCCGGUGUGAGUAGCGAAAGACGGGUGAGAAUCCCGUCCACCGAUUGACUAAGGUUUCCAGAGGAAGGCUCGUCCGCUCUGGGUUAGUCGGGUCCUAAGCUGAGGCCGACAGGCGUAGGCGAUGGAUAACAGGUUGAUAUUCCUGUACCACCUAUAAUCGUUUUAAUCGAUGGGGGGACGCAGUAGGAUAGGCGAAGCGUGCGAUUGGAUUGCACGUCUAAGCAGUAAGGCUGAGUAUUAGGCAAAUCCGGUACUCGUUAAGGCUGAGCUGUGAUGGGGAGAAGACAUUGAGUCUUCGAGUCGUUGAUUUCACACUGCCGAGAAAAGCCUCUAGAUAGAAAAUAGGUGCCCGUACCGCAAACCGACACAGGUAGUCAAGAUGAGAAUUCUAAGGUGAGCGAGCGAACUCUCGUUAAGGAACUCGGCAAAAUGACCCCGUAACUUCGGGAGAAGGGGUGCUCUUUAGGGUUAACGCCCAGAAGAGCCGCAGUGAAUAGGCCCAAGCGACUGUUUAUCAAAAACACAGGUCUCUGCUAAACCGUAAGGUGAUGUAUAGGGGCUGACGCCUGCCCGGUGCUGGAAGGUUAAGAGGAGUGGUUAGCUUCUGCGAAGCUACGAAUCGAAGCCCCAGUAAACGGCGGCCGUAACUAUAACGGUCCUAAGGUAGCGAAAUUCCUUGUCGGGUAAGUUCCGACCCGCACGAAAGGCGUAACGAUUUGGGCACUGUCUCAACGAGAGACUCGGUGAAAUCAUAGUACCUGUGAAGAUGCAGGUUACCCGCGACAGGACGGAAAGACCCCGUGGAGCUUUACUGUAGCCUGAUAUUGAAAUUCGGCACAGCUUGUACAGGAUAGGUAGGAGCCUUUGAAACGUGAGCGCUAGCUUACGUGGAGGCG